rnacentral:rRNA from 1 species
UACAGAGGGGGCAAGCGUUGUUCGGAAUUACUGGGCGUAAAGCGUGCGUAGGUGGUUUCUUAAGUCGGAUGUGAAAGCCCCGGGCUCAACCUGGGAACCGCGCUUGAGACUGGAGAACUAGAGUUCGGGAGAGGAUGGUGGAAUUCCCAGUGUAGAGGUGAAAUUCGUAGAUAUUGGGAAGAACACCGAUGGCGAAGGCAGCCAUCUGGACCGACACUGACGCUGAGGCGCGAAAGCGUGGGGAGCAAACAGG